UACGUAGGCAGCGAGCGUUGUUCGGAAUUACUGGGCGUAAAGAGUGUGUAGGCGGUGUUCCCAGUCUGUUGUGAAAUCUCCCGGCUUAACUGGGAGGGUGCAGCGGAAACUAGAAUGCUAGAGGGUGGGAGAGGUAAGCGGAAUUCCUGGUGUAGCGGUGAAAUGCGCAGAUAUCAGGAGGAACACCGGUGGCGAAGGCGGGUCUCUGGGCCGAAACUGACGCUGAGGAGCGAAAGCGUGGGGAGCGAACAGG
rnacentral:rRNA from 1 species